CAAUAGCGUAUAUUAAAGUUGUUGCGGUAAAAAAGCUCGUAGUUGGAUUUCUACCGAAGACAGCCGGUCGGGUCUUCGACCUUGUAUCUGGUUUUGUCUUUGGUAUCCUCAUAGGGAACGUUUCUGCGCUUUAUUGCGUGGUGCGGUAUCUAUGACUUUUACUUUGAGGAAAUUAGAGUGUUCACGGCAGGCAAACGCCUUGAAUAUAUUAGCAUGGAAUAAUAACAUAGGAUCUUCGUCCUAUUUUGUUGGUUUCUAGGGCUAAGAUAAUGAUUAAUAGGGAUAAUUGGGGGCAUCUGUAUCAACGCGUCAGAGGUGGAAUUCUUGGAUUGCGUUGCGACAAACUACUGCGAAAGCAUUUGCCAAGGAUGUUUUCAUUGA
rnacentral:rRNA from 1 species